GAUGAACACAAAAUGGAUAAAAAUACAAUGUCCUUGCCAAGAAGAUUACAUAGAUUGUGGAUAUUAUGUGAUGAGAUUCAUGAAGGAGAUAAUCUCACACAAGCGACUUCAAAUUCCUGAAGAAUACUUUUCAGAUUGUCAGUUUCCAAGUUAUGACACGGAGCAGAUUGACGAAG